UAGAGUUUGAUCUUGGCUCAGGACGAACGUUGGCGGUGCGCCUAAUGCAUGCAAGUCGAACGGGCGAAGGGACUUCGGUCCCCUAGCUAGUGGCAGACGGCUGAGUAACACGUAAAUGAUCUGCCCCGAAGUGAGGGACAACCCCGAGAAAUCGGGCCUAAUACCUCGUAAGUUCAUUGGAUCACGGUCCAGUGAAGAAAGGUUUCGGCCACUUUGGGAGGAGUUUGCGGCCUAUCAGGUAGUUGGUGGGGUAAUAGCCUACCAAGCCGAAGACGGGUAACCGGUGUGAGAGCACGAUCGGUCAGAGGGGGACUGAGACACGGCCCCCACUCCUACGGGAGGCAGCAGCAGGGAAUCUUGCACAAUGGACGAAAGUCUGAUGCAGCGACACCGCGUGAGGGAAGAAGGCCUUCGGGUUGUAAACCUCUUUUAUCAGGGAAGAGUAAGGACUGUACCUGACGAAUAAGGACCGGCUAACUACGUGCCAGCAGCCGCGGUAAUACGUAGGGUUCAAACGUUGUCCGGAUUUACUGGGCGUAAAGAGCGCGUAGGCGGUUUGUUAAGUCUCAUGUGAAAUCUCCCGGCUCAACUGGGAGGGGUCAUGGGAAACUGACAGGCUUGAGGGUAGCAGAGGAAAGCGGAAUUCCCGGAGUAGUGGUGAAAUGCGUAGAUACCGGGAGGAACACCAGAGGCGAAGGCGGCUUUCUGGGCUAUU
rnacentral:rRNA from 1 species